UACAGAGGGUGCGAGCGUUAAUCGGAAUUACUGGGCGUAAAGCGCACGUAGGCGGCUUUGUAAGUUAGAGGUGAAAGCCCGGGGCUCAACUCCGGAAUUGCCUUUAAGACUGCAUCGCUAGGAAUUGUGGAGAGGUAAGUGGAAUUCCGAGUGUAGAGGUGAAAUUCGUAGAUAUUCGGAAGAACACCAGUGGCGAAGGCGACUUACUGGACACAUAUUGACGCUGAGGUGGCGAAAAGCGUGGGGAGCAACAGG
rnacentral:rRNA from 1 species